rnacentral:rRNA from 1 species
GACGAACGCUGGCGGCGUGCCUAAUACAUGCAAGUCGAGCGGAUCUUCAUUAGCUUGCUUUUGAAGAUCAGCGGCGGACGGGUGAGUAACACGUGGGCAACCUGCCUGUAAGACUGGGAUAACUUCGGGAAACCGGAGCUAAUACCGGAUAAUCCUUUUCCUCUCAUGAGGAAAAGCUGAAAGACGGUUUCGGCUGUCACUUACAGAUGGGCCCGCGGCGCAUUAGCUAGUUGGUGAGGUAACGGCUCACCAAGGCGACGAUGCGUAGCCGACGUGAGAGGGUGAUCGGCCACACUGGGACUGAGACACGGCCCAGACUCCUACGGGAGGCAGCAGUAGGGAAUCUUCCGCAAUGGACGAAAGUCUGACGGAGCAACGCCGCGUGAGCGAUGAAGGCCUUCGGGUCGUAAAGCUCUGUUGUCAGGGAAGAACAAGUAUCGGAGUAACUGCCGGUACCUUGACGGUACCUGACCAGAAAGCCACGGCUAACUACGUGCCAGCCGCCGCAGUAAAAC